CCGCUUAACGGAUCGGUUAGAGCAUCGCAUUUAUAAUGUGAUGGUCGUCGGUUCGAUUCCGAUAGCCGGC
rnacentral:tRNA from 1 species